rnacentral:lncRNA from 1 species
CGGGGAGGCGCGGGCCCCAGGGCGCUCCCAGGCCUCCGCUGCCGCCCCGCCCCAGGGCUGGACCCUGGGAGGACACGGUUCUGGGGCCACAGGGCCUUAAGGACGGCUGCUCUCUCCUGACGCCAGGGUACUGGCCACACUGGGAGCCCGGGGGGGCCGGGGCCGGGGAAAGAGCUGCGCAGAGCUUCGGGACCCGGCUUUGGGCUGCGACGGGCCUGCUGGGGGGUCCCAGCCCCACAGCCGAGGCGUGCAGCCACGGGGAAGCCACGUCUCCACGCGGAGCCUCUGCUUCCACACUAGGGCCCGUGCUGGGAGCGUCCAGUAAAAGCAGCCUCUGUCCAGUGCUGGCGCCAGAGACCGACUCACCUGGAGGCAGAAACAUUUCGGAAGAUCCGUGUCAAAAGGCUUUUAUCAGCGCGGCGCAUCCGAGCAGCCCGGCCCGGGGCCCCAGCAGCAGCCCGGGAGGCCUCGGUCAGGAGGGGGGAGGCCUCGGUCAGGCCCCGGGAAGACCAAACAGGCGGCAGCUGGAGAAUCCUGCCUGGUUACGGGUGAGCUUUGGGACUCCCCACCUGGGACACAAAACCAGGGCCUCUAGAAGGUUCUCAAGCAUAGGCACAACAGCCUUGUCAGCAGUGGGACCCGGCCGCCCUGUCCAGGGGCCCGGCCAGUACAGCUCGAGACCUGUGGGCCACCUGCCCGUAGCUGAAGAGGGGAAAUCAUCGACCCUGGUCGAGGGACAGAAAUCAGAGGAUCUAACCCCAGCGUUCCUCCAGGCGCACCUGGUGGGGAGGUCAUCCAAGCUCCUGGAUCUCUUCAAGCGUCCUUGACCUUCCUGAGCCCUCCACGGGGUCCCAGGGAUGAAAUUAGAAGAUUCUGUGCCCGAGGACCUCCUGUUCGUCCUUCAGUGCCAGCCCAGAGGGGAAGCCUCCCCGCGCUGCCCCCGCCCCGGCCCUGGCUGCGCUCCCGCCGCACUCUGAGCUCGUCCCCGCCCUGACCCAGAGCAGCCCGCACGUGCUGUCCGCCGGCAGCCCCGCGAGAAUGUUCUGGACUCUCACGGUCCAGUAUGCCGGCUACGAGCCACACGUGACCCCGGAGAGGCGGACCGCAGCUCGCAGGAGCGGACACCUGCUGCGCGUGUGGGCAAUACCGCGUCUCUAGGACUCUGUGCCGAAAACCAAACGAAGAAGAGCUCGUGAGCAACUUUUGUGUUGCUCCGCGCGUCGAAGUCCUAACAGUCCCCGUACUGGGUUCAAUAAAAG